rnacentral:tRNA from 1 species
GGGUCUGUGGUGUAGCUUGGUUUAGCAUCGGACCUUCGGGAGGUCCUGACCCCGGUUCAAAGCAAAUUUAGCGAGAAACGAUAAUAUAAGGAAAUGACAGAAUAAUAGUGAAAAAUUUAAAUCUUGUGAAAAUCCGGGCAGACCCA